rnacentral:rRNA from 1 species
CCUACGGGUGGCAGCAGUGAGGAAUAUUGGUCAAUGGCCGCAAGGCUGAACCAGCCAAGUCGCGUGAGGGAUGACGGUCCUGUGGAUCGUAAACCUCUUUUGUCAGGGAGCAAAGGGCGCCACGUGUCCCGGUUUGCGAGUACCUGAAGAAAAAGCAUCGGCAAAAUCCGGGCCAGCAGACGCGGUAAUACGGAGGAUGCGAGCGUUAUACGGAUUUAUUGGGGUUAAAGGGGUCGCAGGCGGAAUGUUAAGUCCGCGGUAAAAUGGCGGGGCUCAACCCCGGCGUGCCGUUGAAACUGGGGUUCUUGAGUGAGUGAGAAGUAUGCGGAAGGCGUGGUGUAGCGGUGAAAUGCAUAGAUAUCACGCAGAACUCCGAUUGCGAAGGCAGCAUACCGGCGCCCAACUGACGCUGAGGCACGAAAGCGUGGGUAUCGAACAGGAUUAGAUACCCUUGUAGUC